CCAUGUUCCCUCAGAAACUCAAAGACCAUCAGAGCAGACAGGCUACCUCAGCGCAGCUGGCCGAUGGAAGCCCCUCGCUUGGGAACUUAAUGCAGCCCAUCCCAAGAAACGAUGGCAAGACACAGAAAGCGCUGCAGCUGCAGGUCUAAGCGCCGAGGGGGGCGGCGCAAGAAAGGGAGGAGGGGAAAGAAGAAAAAGAAUGCAUGCGGCAGGCAGCUAAUCAGUAAGAACAACGGUAACCACAGGACACUUGAUAUUGUCUCUUAUUAGUUUCAUAUUCAUCGGCAACUGUGAACUUAUUCUCUGAGGCACGUGGGAUGCUAAAGCAGCAUACAUGAGUGCAAAUAUGCCCAGAGGGUUUUGCUGGCACCCAUAGGACCCUGCUCUCCUGCAGAAAUUAAGUUCAAAAGAAGUAUUUUAUUCAAGAUAACAGGAGACUUUUUGCAAUCCUAAUUGUGGUGGGAAGGGGCAUUUUUGGCAGGGAUAGGGGUGUCACGUAGCUGGUGAGGGAUGUUCAUCCUUCCUUCCCCAGCUACCUCAUAGCACUUCCUGGAUAUUACAGCUGGAGGGGAAAGGUUAGCUCUUGGCUUCCUAGCUGCAUUCUCCAGGGAGGUUUCCCCUCCCCCAUUAGGCUUUAAAAAAGCAAAAACACUUUUUCCAAGACAAAUUAUUGGCUGCAGGGGAAAGAGUGUGUUUGCCAUGUAUGCAUGAUGCACAGUUGUGGUGCGUGGAUUGUGCUCACAAUAGUUUCUCUGGUUUGCAAAUGUGCCCACAGGCCCCAAAAAAGCUGGUGACCCCUGCUGUAGAAGAACACUGUUGACUCACAACUUGCACAUGUUUAACUUGGCUUAGCAGCUGGCCAGCUGCAAUCGCACAAAUUAAAUGCACACAAGGCAGAAAGCUUAAAAGCUUUCAAGCUCUCAGAUUUACUUAGUGGGCUCUGGAAUGUUCUGGCCUUGUGAGAUCUCCGGUGGCCCCAUGGGAGCCUCCCACAGGGUGAGGGGAGGCAAGGCCCACAGAGUGCACCAGCUUCAGAAAGGUAGGGAUGCUUGUGCACAGGCAGUUCCAGGUUGUUCUAAUAUGCAGUUUUGGCUUUACACACACUCUCCAGAAUAUAACUUCAGUGCAAGUUGUGAGUCAACUAAAAGAGCUAAACUAGGCAAGGACGUGUGCAUUUCAAGAAUCUCACCUGCUUGCACAUUGCCCACAGAAAUGUACACAGUGAUUUCACUAUCACACCUCUAAGCAAAUUGUUCUUAUCUUUUGUUGCAAAUUAGGUAUGACUUUUAGACGUCACCCAUUUAAAGUGAUCCUCCUUAACUUUAAGCCUGAGCUACUCCAAAACAGAACAGCUUCAGGGGAGAUCCAGGAUAUUCUUUGUUCCAUUAAGACCAAGGUUCCAGAAUCCAAUGUAUGUUCCUUACUUCAGAAUACUAUGCUGCCAUAGAACAUUUAUAGCUCCAUAGCAGCAGUUGUGUUUGACAGUUUGCAUCACAACGCAGCCUCAUGUGAACAGGUAUCAGUGGUUCUUCACUCAUAGGGAUUCUGAAGACCUAUUCCCACCCGCCCUCACUGACAUCACCAUUAGUUUUUUUAUUCUUCUGGCUGUCAGUCAGAAAUUCAACAUAAUGACUUCAGCUUGCAUUGCAGCUGUUAAAGACACAGCCACUCUGCCAGGAAAAGAUGGCAACCCUAGUCCCAUUCUUGCUAAAACUUUUGUAACACUACUGGAUUCUGGGAGGGUUAGCAGCAUUACGUUGCCUGCUUCUCUGAUAAGCGAAUAUGCACUCUUCUCCAUGAACCCACUCCUGUCUUCUGGAAAGCCAGGAAAGCUGUUGCUGGUCUACAAGCCGCUACCAUAGAAUUGUAGAGUUGGAAGGUACCCCAAGGGACAUGUGGUCCAAUCACCUGAAAAGCAGGAAUCUUAAUUGUGUGGUGAAACCCCGGGCCCCGCAGCUCCCUCCGAAAUAAAUACACAAACACAAGUAUAUUGGGUUAAUGGGAUAAAUAAGGCCACAACUUUAUUGGUUACAGAUGUGAAUGGUUUGGCUUAGGCAAUUGGGUGAAGCGAGACUAUAUCCUGAACUCCUGCCCGUCUGCAGGAAGUCUCAUAAGGUCAACCACCAGACGGGGGAGCCCUAUGAUAUACAUCAAUUAAGAAUACCUCCUAGGUCACCGUUGGGGUGGUGGCAUGGUCCUAGCCCAUGCCCAGGCUUCAGACAGGAACCUAACCCCCGGAUUCCAUUAACAGGAUACCCUUAAAGUGGAGGGGCAGGCAGAGGCAACAACCUCCCGUCCCAUAAUAAGGCUUACACAAUGCCUAACCACAACUCGAGCCAAAAGGCUCGCCACCCUUUGGCUCAUAUAUCUCAUCUAUCGUAUAUCAAAGAUGGCUAGUAUAUCUCCUCUUAGUUUCCUCUUUCCCAGGCUAAACAUAUUCAACCCCCUCAACUGUUCCUCAUAAGGCUUGGUUUCCAAACCCUUGAUCCUUCUGACCUUCUAGAAUAAGACAAUGCUAUUUCACUUGAGCUGCUUCUACAGCAAAGAUUUGAACUGUCCUUCCAUAGUAUCAGCAACCUAAGAUAACACUAUUAUCCAGCUUCUAGAACAGGCAUCCCCAAACUCGGCCCUCCAGAUGUUUUGGGACUACAGUUCCCAUGAUCCCUGACCACUGGUCCUGUUAGCUAGGGAUGAUGGGAGUUGUAGUCCCAAAACAUCUGGAGGGCCGAGUUUGAGGGUGCCUGUUCUGAAAGAAAAAAAGAACAACAUUGAAAGGUUGUCCUUUUAAAGGAAGGCUGGAAUAACCAUUUGAGGUAUGAUUUGGAAGUACAGUGAACCAGCAGCACACUGACUUUCCCUCAAGGAGUCCAGCAUAAACUGAAAUUAGUCACACAAAUACUCUUGUCUGUGCUUGUGCUUGAAAAACUAUAAGGCAGAUUCUCCUACACAACUGGGUGGGUCUUGCUUCUGCUGUUUGAGUACUAAAGUACACCAUUGUUUCCCAACCUUGGGCCUCCAGCUGUUUUUGGACUACAACUCCCAUCAUCCCUAGCUAGCAAGACCAGUGGUCAGGGAUGAUGGGAAUUGUAGUUCAAAAACAGCUGGAGGCCCAAGGUUGGGAAACACUGAAGUACACAAUAACACCUCAAGCAUGAGAGCUCCAAUGCAGACCCACCAUAGGCAGGUUAUUUAUUUAUUAAUCCAUAUAUAUCCCGCCUUUUCUCCAAUGAGUUCAAGGCAGUAUAUAUGGUUCUUCAACCACCAUUUGCCAUGCUGCAUGUGGGCUGAUGGGAGUUGGAGACCAACAGCUCCUUGAGGACCACAGGUUCCCCAUCCUUGCAGCAAGUGAGGCCAUUCUACUCAAAGUUGUAAAUCUGCCUUUUCAAUUAUAAACACAUUGUGCUCAUGUGCUCAACAGGGUAUGUCCGCAUUACAACCACCUGCCGGUACAGGAGAAAGUAAGAAGGGAUCUCCGGGCUGCUAUGAAAUUGUUUGUCGUGUUAAGCAACCAACCACCACAAAGGAAUCUCCUCCUUGACUGUGAACAACAACCAUCGGAAGUCAUCAGCCACAACAUCUAAGGGACCAAAACUCUGGAGAUGCUGCUGCCUUAAUGGCAGCAAUGGCAGGCUGUCAAUACAGCUACAAAUGCAAGUGAUUGUGUGAUAUAUUCCUCCAGCUGAUAAGUCUUUUUGUUUUGUUUCACCUUGAGCAGAAGUACCCAGCAGUGGAAUAACAAAGAAUGAAAUUGAGAGAUAUUUGUAAUUAACCCUCAAGAA